rnacentral:rRNA from 1 species
GACGAACGCUGGCGGCGUGCUUAACACAUGCAAGUCGAACGGAAAGGCCCUGCUCUUGUGGGGUGCUCGAGUGGCGCACGGGUGAGUAACACGUGAGUAACCUGCCCUUGACUUUGGGAUAACUUCAGGAAACUGGGGCUAAUACCGGAUAGGAGCUCCUGCUGCAUGGUGGGGGUUGGAAAGUUUCGGCGGUUGGGGAUGGACUCGCGGCUUAUCAGCUUGUUGGUGGGGUAGUGGCUUACCAAGGCUUCGACGGGUAGCCGGCCUGAGAGGGUGACCGGCCACAUUGGGACUGCGAGACGGCGCAGACGCCUACGGGCGGCAGCAGUGGGGAAUAUGGCACAAUGGGCGGAAGCCUGAUGCAGCAACGCCGCGUGCGGGAUGACGGCCUUCGGGGUGUAAACCGCUUUCGCCUGUGACGAAGCGUGAGUGACGGUAAUGGGUAAAGAAGCACCGGCUAACUACGUG